ensembl:lncRNA
GCUGUUUACUGUUCUCUAAAAAUACUUUCAGUCACUUCCAUUGCGUUGAUUCUGUAUAAGACUUAGAUUCCUCUCCGUAAGGAAAACAGAAGCAUUGCUGAAUUUGUUAUUAGUGUACCAUGCUGUCAAACAAUAUUCCUACAUGUCCAAAUUCCUGCAAUAUGAUUCACAAGUACACUUCAUAUUAUUAACACUAAAAAAAUUAUUUACACACCAGAAUAUAAUUCAGGGAAAAGAAGUUUUUUUAGUAAUGUCUUCUAAAAGGAAUUUUUACUAUAAUUUAUGACAUGGGAAAAUCUAUGAAAUUUACAACUACUGAAAAUGGAAGUCCAUAGCAAUCUUUUUCUAAGUUCUUAGUUUCUAAAAACUCAAAACUAGAAAAAUAUCUCAUUACAACAUUCCAGCCAAGUUUUGGUUUUGAAGGUUGACUAAUGGAAAAAAGAUGUUUUGAAUACUUGGUUUUUCUCUGACUUAUUUUUUCUGCUUGUUAGUUAGAUUCUUUAUUACAUCUGGCUUCAAGAUUAUUUAUCACAGAUGUCACUGUACAUGAUUUUGGAGGUUUUGUCAUCUCAAUUCCACAUGUAGCAAAAUUAACAUUCUCUUUUUAUCUUAAGCUUUGAAGAUUUCUCAAAACAAACUUUUUCUUGAAGGACUCUUGUUCUAAAUGGAAUCAAACAACAAAAACUUAAAUGCAGCUCUUAAAGAAUAAUUGGUAAAUGUCAUGAAACGAACCCAUUGAUUUAAAAACUAUACAAUGAUCAAAAGUGUGCAACUGAGAAAACUUUCUGCUGCUAAUAGCAAUGUUUUUGGGUUCAAAAAGAGAGACUGUAAGAAAAUAAUGGUUUUAUUCAAUACCAAGUUUAUGUAGCUUUAGGAAAGGAUAUAGGACAGGCAAUUGCACAGAAUGCUUACAAAGGCGUGGCUGUGGUCCUGCAACUCCCAGGAAGUUUUCCACAUCCCAGUCACUCAGCACUUAGAGGAUCCUAGAAGAGGCUGAGUGUGUGCCGUCUUGUCUCAGAAAGCCUUCAGUCUUGAUUCCCACCUAGUCAUUGCUGUCCCCUCUGGAGUUGCUUCAUCAAUACUGGGUUUUUUUGGGGGGUUUUUUUUCUUUUUGGUCUUUUCGUCUUUUCUAGGGCCGCACUCGCAGCAUAUGGAGGUUCCCAAGCUAGGGGUCAAAUCAGAGCUGUAGCUGCCGGCCUACUCCACAGCCACAGCAAUGCAGGAUCUGAGCCGCGUCGCGUCAGCGACCUACACCACAGCUCACCACAAUGCCGGAUCCUUAACCCAGUGAGCAAGGCCAGGGAUCGAACCCACAACCUCAUGGUUCCUAGUCAAAUUGGUUAACCACUGCACCAAGAUGGGAACUCCAACACUGGUUACCCUUUAUAAAAAAAUAUUGACUAGGAAGCCCAGUAGCUCCAUCUUCUAAUGGUCCUCAGUCAAAGUCUGAUCUAUUUUGGCUCCAGGGUAGGCACACUCUUAAGAGUUCCUUGAGUUAGUAUUUCAAGGAGGAUUUGACCAAGGGUAAAGUCAUCAGGAGUCAUCAAGGCUGGAAAAAAGGCUACCAGACCAGCAUUAACCCUUUCCUUCUAAAAAUGUAAUCAGUUGUAUUAAAUUUUUAUAAGCAUAUUAAUAAGUAUGCUUCCUCAUAUUACAUUUUUUAUAAAUAUAUUACUUUAAAAAGGACACACAGUGCUUUAGCUAAAUAUGAUCUUUUAGUAUUGGUAUUAACUGUCAAUCUAUUUCUAUAUUUAAAGGACAUUUGUUAAUAACUGUUUUGUACAUAAAAUUGUUUUCACAACCAUUACGUAUGAGGUGUUUAAACAAGAUGAAAUAAAAUAUAGUACAUGCCAUAAACCUGAACGAAAACUACCAAAAAAAAAAUCCUUUAUUAUCAAGUAAACUGUGUUUUGCUAAAAAUAAUGGUUGCUUGCAGAGAAUGUAAUUAGUUUGCUGGAGCAUGCUGAAGAAGUAACUAAACUAAUUACUUACUGUGAGAGUGCAUACCUCUCUUACAUGAUAUUUGCUAUAACUAUCAUUUAAUCUGUCAAUUCCAGGAAAAAUAUUUUUAAAUUUUACCAAAGAGCAGCUAUAUAACCAACCAUAUUUCUAAGAUUUAUUUAUUUUUUAAAAUUAGUUAAGCAGCAAGAUACGUCUCACCCUUCAAAGCUAACUUUCUUUAAAAUGGAGAGUUUUCUUUCUUCCAUACUUCAGAAGAGUUUAAAUAGCAUUGGAAAGAUGAAUUCCUUAAGCAUUGCAUUGAGUUACCAUGGUAUAUUCUAGACCUGGUGUAUUUUUUUUGUGACGGUAGUUACCAGGAGGGCUGAGAUAGGUAAAAGUUAGGUUUUUAAGCACUUAUUCCUCAAAUAUAAAAAUUGGAGCUUUUUUUUUUUUUCACUGAAGAAGUUUAAGAAAUUUUUUUCCUUUGAAUUCAUCUGCAUAGUGCUAAGCAAAAUUUUCAAUUAGGAUAUUUUACUUUCUCAUGUAAAUGCCAUUAUUUUCUUUAUACCAUAAUUUUCAGGUUUAUCUAUUUUAUCCUCCCCCUUCAAACAUUUUUACAAAAAAUUUAUGUUUUCUAGUAACACACUUCUGCGAUUAACAUUAAUUUCUUCCUUUACUGAUAUUCUAAAUUUUUGCAAUGAAAGUUUAUUCCAUUCACUUUUAUUUAAUCAUUUAGAAGUAUGCAUUUUGAUUUCGGCAUUGUAAACUGCAGUUCAGCAGUUUCUGUAUAUGGUGUCUUUAUCAUUGUUACUUUCCAGAUAUUCUGUAGUUUUAGGUUUGAUUUUCCCCUUGGUCUGAGAUAUACGUCCAGGUUAGUUUUUAUUUAGUUGGUCUGGCUGUGUGCCAUCUGCUGUUUUCUGAUCUUAUUGCUUUGUGAUGAAAGCUGUGAACUCUGUUUCUUUAGGAAUCUGACUUUUCUUUAUGGCUAGUCCAUGGUAACUUUGUGAUCGAUUUUUCCGUAAUUGCUGGAAAAUAAGAUAUAUCUUUUUGUGGGAGUAGGGAGUAUGUUUGUCUGUGGAGGAUCUAUCUUAUAUUAUUUCACGAUUGAGGAAAGUGCAACUGAAGUCUUGUACUACAUUUUUUUUCCCUAAUACUUCCUAGAAUUUGUUUUUU